rnacentral:rRNA from 1 species
UACGAACUGUGCAAACGUUAUUCGGAAUCACUGGGCUUACAGGGUGCGUAGGCGGUCUGUUAAGUAGGGUGUGAAAGCCCCCGGCUCAACCGGGGAAUUGCGCCCUAAACUGGCGGACUCGAGGCGGGUAGGGGUGAGCGGAACUCCAGGUGGAGCGGUGAAAUGCGUAGAUAUCUGGAGGAACACCGGUGGCGAAAGCGGCUCACUGGACCUGAUCUGACACUGAGGUGCGAAAGCUAGGGUAGCAAACGGG